GAAUGUUUAAUUCCAUAAGGCAGGCCUCUUGGACUUAUUUUCUGGAUUAGUAUCUGGGGUUUCUUCUGUUAGAGUUUCUGUCUGGACGCCAUAUUCCUGCAGUGGUGAUGGCAUGGCCCUUUGUGAGUUAAUAUUGAGUCUGUUCUGUUAAACCCAGUGAAUUCACAGCACUGCUACUCUGGGUAUAAGCAGCUUCUGAAAUUAGGC
rnacentral:lncRNA from 1 species